AAGCGAAACGCCCUACGGGGCGUCUGGCUGGCGUGGUUGCCAGUCACUGAUGAGCAGCCGAGG
rnacentral:hammerhead_ribozyme from 1 species